rnacentral:rRNA from 1 species
GAUGAACGCUGGCGGCGUGCCUAAUACAUGCAAGUCGAACGAUGAAGCCGGAGCUUGCUCUGGUGAAUUAGUGGCGAACGGGUGAGUAACACGUGAGUAACCUGCCCUUGACUCUGGGAUAACUGCGGGAAACUGUAGCUAAUACCGGAUACGACCCUCGGAGGCAUCUCCUGGGGGUGGAAAGAAUUUCGGUCAAGGAUGGACUCGCGGCCUAUCAGCUAGUUGGUGAGGUAAAGGCUCACCAAGGCGACGACGGGUAGCCGGCCUGAGAGGGUGCGCGGCCACACAGGGACUGAGACACGGCCCAGACUCCCACGGGAGGCAGCAGUGGGGAAUAUUGCACAAUGGGCGCAAGCCUGAUGCAGCAACGCCGCGUGAGGGAUGACGGCCUUCGGGUUGUAAACCUCUUUUAGCAGGGAAGAAGCGAAAGUGACGGUACCUGCAGAAAAAGCACCGGCUAACUACGUGCCAGCCGCCGCCGUAA